GUGUGCACAUUGAAGUGGCUGGAAAAUCUAUUGGUCGUGCACAUUUUAAAAACUCUUUGUGAAACAAAGUGCUGGGCUCAGACUUCCAAGUGGCCACCAGUCGGAGCAAAGCUUAUUGCUCAUCCUCUUUGAGAAUCUCUUGCCAUGGAGGAUGCCUGUGCCCCAGGACCUGGUGCUGGAGAUGGCAGCAGCUGGAGCUCACCAGCUUCCUGGACUCACAAAGACCAAGCCUAAAUGAGAGAUACAUGGAAAUCUCAAAUCAAGUGGAUUUUUCCUG